rnacentral:rRNA from 1 species
AGUGAACGCUGGCGGUAGGCCUAACACAUGCAAGUCGAGCGGCAGCACAGUAAGAGCUUGCUCUUACGGGUGGCGAGUGGCGGACGGGUGAGACGUACAUCGGAAUCUACUUUUUCGGGGGGGAUAACGGAGGGAAACUUACGCUAAUACCGCAUACGACCUACGGGUGAAAGCAGGGGAAAUUCGGACCUUGCGCGAUUGAAUGAGCCGAUGUCGGAUUAGCUAGUUGGCGGGGUAAAGGACCACCAAGGCGACGAUACGUAGCUGGUCUGAGAGGAUGAUCAGCCACACUGGAACUGAGACACGGUCCAGACUCCUACGGGAGGCAGCAGUGGGGAAUAUUGCACAAUGGGCGCAAGCCUGACCCAGCCAUGCCGCGUGGGUGAAGAAGGCCUUCGGGUCGUAAAGCCCUUUUGUUGGGAAAGAAAAGCUGUAUGUUAAUCCCCCGCUGUUCUGACGGUACCCAAAGAAUAAGCACCGGCUAACUUCGUG